rnacentral:rRNA from 1 species
AUCGGGAAACAGCUUGCAUUGGGGGGACUUUUACAGGCGGGAGGCUGUUUAAAGCGGAUCCAACCUGACCACCAGUUGGGGAUUACCUUGCGAAAGUAAGACUAAUACCCAAUGACGUCUCUAGAGGACAUCUGAAAGAGAUUAAAGAUUUAUCGGUGAUGGAUGGGGAUGCGUCUGAUUAGCUUGUUGGCGGGGUAACGGCCCACCAAGGCUACGAUCAGUAGGGGUUCUGAGAGGAAGGUCCCCCACAUUGGAACUGAGACACGGUCCAAACUCCUACGGGAGGCAGCAGUGAGGAAUAUUGGUCAAUGGACGAGAGUCUGAACCAGCCAAGUAGCGUGCAGGAUGACGGCCCUAUGGGUUGUAAACUGCUUUUAUAAGGGAAUAAAGUGAGUCUCGUGAGACUUUUUGCAUGUACCUUAUGAAUAAGGACCGGCUAAUUCCGUGCCAGCAGCCGCGGUAAUACGGAAGGUCCGGGCGUUAUCCGGAUUUAUUGGGUUUAAAGGGAGCGUAGGCCGGAGAUUAAGCGUGUUGUGAAAUGUAGAUGCUCAACAUCUGCACUGCAGCGCGAACUGGUUUCCUUGAGUACGCACAAAGUGGGCGGAAUUCGUGGUGUAGCGGUGAAAUGCUUAGAUAUCACGAAGAACUCCGAUUGCGAAGGCAGCUCACUGGAGCGCAACUGACGCUGAAGCUCGAAAGUGCGGGUAUCGAACAGGAUUAGAUACCCUGGUAGUCCGCACGGUAAACGAUGGAUGCCCGCUGUUGGUCUGAAUAGGUCAGCGGCCAUUUACGAAGCGGGGU